rnacentral:ncRNA from 2 species
AUGAAUCACUAGGGGAGCAAUAUUGCUGAGAAAGACAUGUCUUGACCCUUUGAACCUGAUCUAGGUCAUACUAGCGUAGGGAAGUGAUGGCGGACAAAA